UGGGGAAUCUUGGACAAUGGGCGCAAGCCUGAUCCAGCCAUGCCGCGUGGAUGAUGAAGGCCUUAGGGUUGUAAAAUCCUUUCGCCGAGGACGAUAAUGACGGUACUCGGAGAAGAAGCUCCGGCUAACUUCGUGCCAGCAGCCGCGGUAAUACGAAGGGGGCUAGCGUUGUUCGGAUUUACUGGGCGUAAAGCGCAUGUAGGCGGGCCGUUAAGUUAGGGGUGAAAUCCCGAGGCUCAACCUCGGAACUGCCUCUAAAACUGGCGGCCUGGACCUAAGUAGAGGCAAGUGGAAUUGCGAGUGUAGAGGUGAAAUUCGUAGAUAUUCGCAGGAACACCAGUGGCGAAGGCGACUUGCUGGACUUAUGGUGACGCUGAGAUGCGAAAGCGUGGGGAGCAAACAGGAUUAGAUACCCAAGUAGUCCCUGAGCGGGCUGGCAAGGCGCAU
rnacentral:rRNA from 1 species